AAGAUAUGGAGGGUGAGGUACUUAGCCUAGCCAAGUAAAGCUAGUCUAUGGCUUCUUUUCCUUCUGGAUAGGUCAUGUCCUCAAGCUAGAUUAGCAGGAGCAUUUCCAUCUACAAAGGGAGAGACAAAGUCUAUGUUAUGAAGAAGGAGAAGGGAAGUGGAGCAACCUGACCCAAAACUCAACAAAAAAAGAUUGAGUGUGAGGGUUGUCUGGGACCACUUUUAAGUUUGCUAACUCACUGUUGUGCUAGAUUUAAGCAGAGAAACUACAAAGUUAACCAUAGAGGCGCUGACAGCAGUGCACAUUUCGCAUGCUAUUGCAGAAGUUGCCUAACUUUAAAUCCAAGCUGUAAGUCAUAUUGACAACUUACAGCUGUUUUCUGGGAGACAACGGUUUCCGAAUCAAGUCCACUGUGUGCGCUUUGAAAGAGGUCAACUGUAAAAGUAAGUACAACAGAGAAUUUUAUCAAGGUGCUGGAAGGAAAACCAUGUCGCCUUAUAGCACAUAUUACUCCACUGAAGCAGAAAUCUGCUUUUCAUCGGACAUCGCUGUGAGCGGCUGAUUGACUGCUGGACCGAGGAUCGAUUCAUUGUCGUUGCUGGUGUCGACAGUUAAGGCAGUAAUUUCCACAGUGGUUUUCUACAAACAAAAACACGUUAGUUACAAAUUGCAUUCAACAAUCGUCUUCUUCCUCAUGUCUUGAUUUUGUAAAUGCAGUUUUAGACUUUCGUCAGAGGAAUUUUGAAUGGAGCCGAUAAAACCUGUUUUGGGUGUUGAAUCUUGUUCUUUAUUGAAGAUUUCUUUGAACUGUGGCGAAAUAAUUCUUAAUGUUCUUUGUUACUAGUGUAUCCACAAGAUGUUUAGAAUUUAAAAACUUUUUUCAGCUUGUCGUUGGCGCACUUUUGAAUAGGACAGCUUGUUUUUCAGCACCGUACCCCACCUACUUUUA